rnacentral:rRNA from 1 species
GACGAACGCUGGCGGCGUGCCUAAUACAUGCAAGUCGAGCGGACCCUUCGGGGUCAGCGGCGGACGGGUGAGUAACACGUGGGUAAUCUGCCCAACUGACUGGAAUAACGCCUGGAAACGGGUGCUAAUGCCGGAUAGGCAACUGGUAGGCAUCUACCGGUUGGGAAAGGUGCAACUGCACCGCAGAUGGAGGAGCCCGCGGCGCAUUAGCUAGUUGGUGGGGUAACGGCCUACCAAGGCGACGAUGCGUAGCCGACCUGAGAGGGUGGACGGCCACACUGGGACUGAGACACGGCCCAGACUCCUACGGGAGGCAGCAGUAGGGAAUCUUCCGCAAUGGGCGCAAGCCUGACGGAGCAACGCCGCGUGAGCGAAGAAGGCCUUCGGGUUGUAAAGCUCAGUCACUCGGGAAGAGCGGACAGGGGAGUGGAAAGCCCUGUCGAGACGGUACCGAGAGAGGAAGCCCCGGCUAACUACGUG